CGGUGAAGUGUCAAACAAAGAAAAAUUUUUAAUCGCAUGUUCUUUAUACAAUAACAGCAUCCAUACAGCUACCAACAUGAAACCACGUGAAAUUUUAUAUGCAGCCAAAAAUGGACAGGAGAGACCGAUAGAAAUGGAACGCCUUGUUGAACUUCGUGACAAGUUGAAGCGAGAGGAUCCGCCAAAACUAAAACAAAACGAAUUGGCAUACAACCGCAUCCAAGGAGUGAAGUCGAAAAUUAAGGACCGCUACCAACAAGUGCGAGUACGAUCUAACCGGAAACACACGUACAAAGAUAUCCUAAGUCGAAAAUUACAUAAAGAAAAACUGCGACGAAUCCGAAAGUAACACCACAGAAUCUCUAAUGUGUUUUUUCAUUUGUUUUCUCUUUUUAGAUGACGUUUAUUUGGAAUAUCCUGAUAACAACCACAUUCCUUACUCAGCUAUCCCAACCACAAUCCAUCCACGUCGUUAAUCUCAAACAAAACCCCGGUCUUUUAACCAUAGAAACUGGCAACAGUUUUAUAAAAAUAGGCAACCACAGUUUCAUAUCCUAGAACUGGAUAAUUACGAACCUAUUUUUAGAAAAUUGCUUGCUAAUAUCCAAGGAAUACGGACAUUCUCAAAUUUUACUGAUAUGUUUGAAAUCUUAGAAUCGAAAUAUGGAACCGUUCACAGUUUAUUCAAUAAUCUUCGGCCAAAGCAAAGAAAUAAAAGAGGAUUAUUUAAUUUUCUCGGAACUGGAAUAAAAAGAAUUACAGGAAAUAUGGACCAUAACGACUAUGAACAAAUUUCGAAAAAUAUUUUUGAACUGCAGAUCAAGAACAAAAGACUUAUUAACGAAAACAACGAACAGCUUAAAAUUAAUCUACAACUCCAAAAUAGAAUCAAUUCCAUUAUCAACCGUUUAAAUCAACAACAGAGUGAAAUAACUAAAAACAUUAUAUCAGCUAGAUUUGAAAACGAAACCAACAAAAACUUUAAAUUAUUUAGAGAAAUUUUGAAAAUCAAUUACAACUUAGACAACCUUAAAUCACAUUUAGAAGACAUUUUUGAAUCAAUUCAGUUAGCAAGAACUAACAUUAUUCCCAAACAAAUACUUUCAAUUGAAGAGUUAGGAUUUGUUUCAGAUAUAUUAGAAGAACAAAAUAUUAGGACGAACAGUUCAGAUCAAAUUUAUGAAUAUUUAGAAUUGUCAGCAUUUUAUAACCAUUCAAAACUAAUAUUUGUUGUGUCAAUUCCAAAAAUAGAAAAAGCUAUGUACACACAUUUUUUCCUAGAACCUCUUCCAGUAGUAGAUAAAAUUUUAAAACUUCCUGCUAAUGCUGCUUUGCAAAGCGACAACAGAACAUAUUUCAUCAAGAAGGAUUGCCUGCGAAUCGAAAGGACAAGGCUGUGCAAUCUAAACAGCCUAGAGGACAUAACCGGCGACCUAUGCUACUCAAACCUACUAUGAGGACUAUCAGGAAACUGUACUUUCGUAAAAUGCUAUCAAUCAACGGAGAUCAAAGCGAUCAUGGACAAUUACCUUGUCGCUAAAAACAUCAAUAACACAGAAAUCGAAUCGAAUUGUGGUCUUUCAAAACGAAACUUAUCUGGAACGUAUUUGAUAGAGUUCCACAAUUGCUCUGUCAUAAUAAAUGGCACCAAGUUCUCAAAUGUCGAAGCAAACAAAUCAGAACCGACAUUUGUUAUGCCAUUAGAUGGUUUACAUAUCAAUGAACAGACCCUGGAAAUCCAGAAUAAUAUGGAAGAAAUUCACAUCCAUAAUAGACAUCGGAUUGAAGCAUUAA